rnacentral:rRNA from 1 species
AACGCUAGCACAGGCUUAACACAUGCAAGUCGAGGGGCAGCAUGGUCUUAGCUUGCUAAGGCCGAUGGCGACCGGCGCACGGGUGAGUAACACGUAUCCAACCUGCCGUCUACUCUUGGACAGCCUUCUGAAAGGAAGAUUAAUACAAGAUGGCAUCAUGAGUCCGCAUGUUCACAUGAUUAAAGGUAUUCCGGUAGACGAUGGGGCUGCGUUCCAUUAGAUAGUAGGCGGGGUAACGGCCCACCUAGUCUUCGAUGGAUAGGGGUUCUGAGAGGAAGGUCCCCCACAUUGGAACUGAGACACGGUCCAAACUCCUACGGGAGGCAGCAGUGAGGAAUAUUGGUCAAUGGGCGAGAGCCUGAACCAGCCAAGUAGCGUGAAGGAUGACUGCCCUACGGGUUGUAAACUUCUUUUAUAAAGGAAUAAAGUCGGGUAUGGAUACCCGUUUGCAUGUACUUUAUGAAUAAGGAUCGGCUAACUCCGUGCCAGCAGCCGCGGUAAUACGGAGGAUCCGAGCGUUAUCCGGAUUUAUUGGGUUUAAAGGGAGCGUAGAUGGAUGUUUAAGUCAGUUGUGAAAGUUUGCGGCUCAACCGUAAAAUUGCAGUUGAUACUGGAUAUCUUGAGUGCAGUUGAGGCAGGCGGAAUUCGUGGUGUAGCGGUGAAAUGCUUAGAUAUCACGAAGAACUCCGAUUG